AACACAUGCAAGUACGAACGCGAACGUUUCCUUCGGGGAACUAGUAGAGUGGCGCACGGGUGAGUAACGCGUAAGUAAUCUACCCUCGCAUUCGGGAUAACCCACCGAAAGGUGUGCUAAUACCGGAUACGUCUCAUUUAAUAUCUUUUGAUGAGAGAAAGGUGGCCUCUUGAAUCAAAGCUACUGUGCGGGGAGGAGCUUGCGUACCAUUAGCUAGUUGGUAGGGUAACGGCCUACCAAGGCGAUGAUGGUUAGCGGGUCUGAGAGGAUGAUCCGCCACACUGGAACUGGAACACGGACCAGACUCCUACGGGAGGCAGCAGUGAGGAAUAUUGCGCAAUGGGGGCAACCCUGACGCAGCGACGCCGCGUGGAUGAUGAAGGCCUUCGGGUUGUAAAAUCCUGUCAGAUGGGAAGAAGUGUGUAUCACCCAAUACGUGAUACAUUUGACGGUACCAUCAAAGGAAGCACCGGCUAACUCCGUGCCAGCAGCCGCGGUAAUACGGAGGGUGCAAGCGUUGUUCGGAAUUACUGGGCGUAAAGCGCGCGUAGGCGGCUAGAUAAGUCAGAUGUGAAAGCCCGCGGCUCAACCGUGGAAGAGCAUUUGAAACUGUCUAGCUUGAGUACUGGAGG
rnacentral:rRNA from 1 species